GAUUGAAGCUGUGACUUCAACGUCACUGUUGAAUAGGGGGAUUGUUUGCAAAUUGGAUUUGUACAAAGGCGUGAAUGAUGGUAACGGAGCACCCAGCCUUACCGCAUUCACCACAGCUGCUAUCAUACCUGUGCUUGGGAUGGUUUACCUGAUGUUUAUUUAACUACCCACUUGUCCCACGGACAAUCUUGUCUGCUUGGGAAAGCUGGCAUUUUUUUU